CGCUGGCGGCAUGCUUUACACAUGCAAGUCGGACGGCAGCACAGAGAAGCUUGCUUCUUGGGUGGCGAGUGGCGAACGGGUGAGUAAUAUAUCGGAACGUACCGAGCAGUGGGGGAUAACUAAUCGAAAGAUUAGCUAAUACCGCAUAUUUUCUGAGGAAGAAAGCAGGGGGCCAUUUGGCCUUGCGCUGUUUGAGCGGCCGAUAUCUGAUUAGCUGGUUGGUGGGGUAAAGGCCUACCAAGGCGACGAUCAGUAGCGGGUCUGAGAGGAUGAUCCGCCACACUGGGACUGAGACACGGCCCAGACUCCUACGGGAGGCAGCAGUGGGGAAUUUUGGACAAUGGGCGCAAGCCUGAUCCAGCCAUGCCGCGUGUCUGAAGAAGGCCUUCGGGUUGUAAAGGACUUUUGUCAGGGAAGAAAAGGAUAGGGUUAAUACCCCUGUCUGAUGACGGUACCUGAAGAAUAAGCACCGGCUAACUACGUGCCAGCAGCCGCGGUAAUACGUAGGGUGCGAGCGUUAAUCGGAAUUACUGGGCGUAAAGCGGGCGCAGACGGUUACUUAAGCAGGAUGUGAAAUCCCCGGGCUCAACCUGGGAACUGCGUUCUGAACUGGGUGACUAGAGUGUGUCAGAGGGAGGUAGAAUUCCACGUGUAGCAGUGAAAUGCGUAGAGAUGUGGAGGAAUACCGAUGGCGAAGGCAGCCUCCUGGGAUAACACUGACGUUCAUGCCCGAAAGCGUGGGUAGCAAACAGGAUUAGAUACCCUGGUAGUCCACGCCCUAAACGAUGUCGAUUAGCUGUUGGGCAGCAUGACUGCUUAGUAGCGAAGCUAACGCGUGAAAUCGAC
rnacentral:rRNA from 1 species